UACGUAGGGUGCGAGCGUUAAUCGGAAUUACUGGCGUAAAGCGUGCGCAGGCGGUUCGUUGUGUCCGUCGUGAAAGCCCCGGGCUUAACCUGGGAACUGCGAUGGAAACUAGCGAGCUGGAGUGUGGCAGAGGGGGGGGUGGAAUUCGCGUGUAGCAGUGAAAUGCGUAGAGAUGCGGAGGAACACCGAUGGCGAAGGCAGCCCCCUGGGCUAACACUGACGCUCAGGCACGAAAGCGUGGGGAGCAAACAGG
rnacentral:rRNA from 1 species